GAUGAACGCUGGCGGCGUGCUUAACACAUGCAAGUCGAACGAUGAAGCCCAGCUUGCUGGGUGGAUUAGUGGCGAACGGGUGAGUAACACGUGAGUAACCUGCCCUUAACUCUGGGAUAAGCCUGGGAAACUGGGUCUAAUACCGGAUAGGAGCGUCCACCGCAUGGUGGGUGUUGGAAAGAUUUAUCGGUUUUGGAUGGACUCGCGGCCUAUCAGCUUGUUGGUGAGGUAAUGGCUCACCAAGGCGACGACGGGUAGCCGGCCUGAGAGGGUGACCGGCCACACUGGGACUGAGACACGGUCCAGACUCCUACGGGAGGCAGCAGUGGGGAAUAUUGCACAAUGGGCGCAAGCCUGAUGCAGCGACGCCGCGUGAGGGAUGACGGCCUUCGGGUUGUAAACCUCUUUCAGUAGGGAAGAAGCGAAAGUGACGGUACCUGCAGAAGAAGCACCGGCUAACUACGUG
rnacentral:rRNA from 1 species